CACACACAAACACAUGCACACACACAGACACACACAUAUUGUAGAGACACAUUUGUUUAUGCACGUGCACACACACUCGUGCACACACUCACACACAUAAAUGAGAUCAGUUUCUCCUCUCCAUGAGUCACCAGUUUUCAGAGAAUCUUCUUUCUGUUUGUUUUUUUUCUCCUUUUUUACUCGCUGGCUCUGAUCCAAUCAGAGUGCAGGAACAGGCGACACAGUUAUGAGUUUCACCUUCAUUCAUUCAUUCAUUCAUGCCCAGUUCACUUAUUCAUCUGGCCCUCAGCUCGGAGUUCCUGUGGUUCUGUCCUCAGGUUCAGAUUGUAGUUCUGGUUCUUGGUUCGUGUUUGUCUCCGGCUCAGAGACGGUCUGGAUGAGAACAGUGAGAUGAUGAGUGUUGAAGGAUGAGCAGCAGCAGCAGCAGCAGCUCUCCUCUCCGCUCCUCGUCUAAAUGAGCAGUAAUUGUGUUUGUGUAGAAUCGAAGUGAGCGUGUUGAGUGUCCCACAGUCUCAGCCAAAAUAAACGGAUCGUCUCUCUCCGCUCUCACUGAUGUUUGUUGAUGUUUGGAUGAUGUGGGAGAGAAAAGACGGCUCAGCAGAAAAUGACAAACAGGAAUCAGGAGUUUCUGUUAUUUUCUGCUGCAGCUCUGAAGUCCUCGAUGACUCUGAGGUUUUUCAUUUUUAUCAUUUUGUUCAGAUGAUCUUCAGCCGUUCUCUGGUUUCAGUUCUUAGUUCAGCAAACAUCUGCUCUCCCUCUCCUCCUGCUCCUCCUCCUCCUCCUCCUCCUCCUCUCUUUAUGUUACAGCAUGUUUGCUCUUCAUGCUGUUGUUUCAGCUCUUUGUAUUUCCGCUCUAGUGUUUGUUUGGACAGUUACCUGUGACUCUGACAGUCCUCAGAUCGAGUCCUCGUUAAAAUCUGGACUGAAGUCACCUGAGCUCUCCUCACCCCUGCAGACCCGGACCCUCUGAGUCUGAUUUUAGCUCUCUUAUAAUCCCCAGACGCCCUCAGCAGGAUGGAGGUUCAGAGAGUUCAGACUCUUCAGCCGGUUCAUGACCACAUACAGCAAACAUCAGCUCUGCUUAUUGAGCUGACUCUGACCUCUGACCUCCCUGUGGGGGCGCAGCAAUAAAGCAAACCUUCCCACAGGGAUCGAACCGAUGUCAGCUGGAGACACGGGAGAGGUCUGCUCAGUUCACCAAAACAAAACUGUUUAUUAUUAUUAUUAUUAUUAUUAUUAUUAUUAUUAUUAUUAUUAUUAUUAUUAUUAUUAUUAUCAUAUUUAUAUAUUAAUUACUUUAUUUAAUCAUUUAGUAUUAUAAUAAUAAUUAUAUUUAUUAUAUUUAUUAUAAUAUAUAUCAUAAAUAUGAUUAUAUUUAUCAUUUAUUUAUUUACUACAACAUAUUAUUUUUUUAAAUUAGUUAUCAUUGGUUAUUAUUAUAUAUUUUAUUAUUAUUAUAAUUAACUUAUUAAUUAAUUAAUUAAUAAAUAAAUACAUUAAUUUAAUUAUUAUUAAUAUUAUGACUAUUAUAUUAUUAAAUAUCACAGUCUGAUGUUCACAGUUGAACCUUCUGACUGAAGUUGAUCUAAAUAUCUGAAGAUGUGAGGGUGAGGAUCUGGUUCAGGAUCUAUGUCACACGUCUAUAAAACCACGUCCCGUCCAGUCUGAGUGGGUCUCUGUUCGGAGUUCUGGUGUGAGGAGAGAAAUAAAUCCUGCAGAACAUCUCCGCUCCAACAUCCAACACUGAUCCUGUUACACGCAGCCGUCUGAUUGGAUAGGCCAAACGAGCGCUGCUGAUUGGUUCAGGAAGAACUUAGACUGAUAUAAUUCAGAGUUAAACUCUCUGCUGUCAAAGAAACGUUCGCCCGUCUGAUCGGGGAGCGCUUUGGCUCAGACCCCCGAGACUCUAACUGAUGAGGCCCUCCAUGAACCCGAGCGUGAAGACGGUUAGAAGAGUCAGAGUAAUCCACGCUGACAGUCUGGGAUGACGCGGCGUUGGGUGCUGUUUCUUUUCCAAGAGGAGGUCUGGUGCUCGGAGCGUCGGGCUGCCUCGGCUCGCCGCUGAUGUCGGGCUCCCCCGGGUGUUGUGGUGAGUCAGGUUUCCUGUCGCAACGCAUUCGCCACAACACAGACACGCUCUGGGGAGUCCAUGACUGAUCCUUCUGGCCUGCAGAGGUGUGUGUGUGUGUGUAUCUGUGUGUGUUUUUUUGUAUGUGUGUGUGUAUCUGUGUGUGUGUGUGUGUGUGUGUGUGUGUUCGUGUGUGUGUGUGUGUGUGUGUGUGUGUGUGUGUGUGUGUGUGUGUGUGUGUGUGUGUGUGUGUGUGUGUGUUCUGUGUGUAUGUGAGUGUGUUCAUGUGUUAGUGUGUGUUAGUUUGUGUCGGAGAGGCCUGUUCUCAUGUCGGGCAGAUCUCCGAGUCCAGGACAGCCGUCAGGAUCUCCCUGUCGGUCAGAUACUUUGACCCAUUGGGUCGAUGGCCAAGGCCUGUAAUGAGAACUCAGGGAUGACUCUGAGCUGUUCAGGUCCAGGUCCAAGUUCUGUUUCUGAUACUCAGACCCUCUGAAAAACCGGACCAGGUCUUUAUAUGAACAGGAGGGUCUCAUCAGGAGAUCAUUUCCUUGAAUUAAUAAUCAUCAUAUUAAUCAUUUUACAGAUGCGGUAGUUCUUCUGUCUUAGCGUCUCGGUCUGAUUGUAUUUCCAUGAAGAAAUGAUCAUAAAUGUUCUUCCUUGAGCUGCGGCACCCCGCUGUAGUCCAUAAUGGACAAAGAUCUGUCUAAUCAGAGUCUGAGGGUCUCUUUGGUGCCCACCCCCGACCCU